rnacentral:rRNA from 19 species
CGUAACAAGGUCUCCGUUGGUGAACCAGCGGAGGGAUCAUU